rnacentral:lncRNA from 12 species
GGCAGGGACAGAAACUGCCCAGGGCUGAAAUGAGAGAGGGGGGAAGGCGGGGAAUGUGGGAGGGUGAUGGAGGGGGGACAGGGGAGGGAAAUGGAGAAGGGACAGAGACUGUGAGAGUGAUGGAGUGGGGACAGGGUGAUGCGGAGGGGUCAGGGCUGGUGCAAAAGUGAUGAAGGGCGGUGAAGGGACGGGACGAGGGUGAUGGAGAAGAUUGGACAGGGAUGGUGCCAGAGCAAUGGAGAUCGGGCACAGGGGACAGGACAGGGAGAGGACACAGGGACAGGACACAGGGACAGGGAUAGGACACAUGGACAGGACACAGGGACGGGGAUAAGACGCAGGGACAGGACACAGGGACAGGACACAGGGACAGGACACGGGGACAGGACACGGGGACAGGACAGGAUGCAGGGGCAGGACGCAGGGACAGGGAUAGGACGCAGGGACAGGACAGGACACAUGGACAGGACACAGGGACGCCAGCCCAUCACGCCGGUCCCGCCGCCCGGCGCGGUCACGAGAGGGCGCCGCCGGAGCCCCAGCGCGGCGGGAGCGGCUCCGCUCCGGCUUUUCCUCCUUUGAGAGGCGAUCCCAGCCCCGAGCAGCCCCAGAGGCUGAGAACAGCC